rnacentral:rRNA from 1 species
GUAAUAAUCCUGUAGUCGAAAAUGUUGUCUCUCUUGAGUGGAUCCUGAGUACGACGGAGCACGUGAAAUUCCGUCGGAAUCUGGGAGGACCAUCUCCUAAGGCUAAAUACUCUCUAGUGACCGAUAGUGAACCAGUACCGUGAGGGAAAGGUGAAAAGCACCCCGGAAGGGGAGUGAAAUAGAACCUGAAACCGUGUGCUUACAAGUAGUCAGAGCCCGUUAAUGGGUGAUGGCGUGCCUUUUGUAGAAUGAACCGGCGAGUUACGAUUUGAUGCAAGGUUAAGCAGUAAAUGUGGAGCCGUAGCGAAAGCGAGUCUGAAUAGGGCGUUUAGUAUUUGGUCGUAGACCCGAAACCAGGUGAUCUACCCUUGGUCAGGUUGAAGUUCAGGUAACACUGAAUGGAGGACCGAACCGACUUACGUUGAAAAGUGAGCGGAUGAACUGAGGGUAGCGGAGAAAUUCCAAUCGAACCUGGAGAUAGCUGGUUCUCUCCGAAAUAGCUUUAGGGCUAGCCUCAAGUGAUGAUUAUUGGAGGUAGAGCACUGUUUGGACGAGGGGCCCCUCUCGGGUUACCGAAUUCAGACAAACUCCGAAUGCCAAUUAAUUUAACUUGGGAGUCAGAACAUGGGUGAUAAGGUCCGUGUUCGAAAGGGAAACAGCCCAGACCACCAGCUAAGGUCCCAAAAUAUAUGUUAAGUGGAAAAGGAUGUGGCGUUGCCCAGACAACUAGGAUGUUGGCUUAGAAGCAGCCAUCAUUUAAAGAGUGCGUAAUAGCUCACUAGUCGAGUGACACUGCGCCGAAAAUGUACCGGGGCUAAACAUAUUACCGAAGCUGUGGAUUGUCCUUUGGACAAUGGUAGGAGAGCGUUCUAAGGGCGUUGAAGCAUGAUCGUAAGGACAUGUGGAGCGCUUAGAAGUGAGAAUGCCGGUGUGAGUAGCGAAAGACGGGUGAGAAUCCCGUCCACCGAUUGACUAAGGUUUCCAGAGGAAGGCUCGUCCGCUCUGGGUUAGUCGGGUCCUAAGCUGAGGCCGACAGGCGUAGGCGAUGGAUAACAGGUUGAUAUUCCUGUACCACCUAUAAUCGUUUUAAUCGAUGGGGGG